GAUGAACGCUCGGCGGCGUGCUUAACACAUGCAAGUCGAACGAAGAUGCCGGAGUGCUUGCACUUUGGCAGACUGAGUGGCGGACGGUGAGUAACGCGUGGGUAACCUGCCUUAUACAGGGGGAUAACAGUUGGAAACGACUGCUAAUACCGCAUAAGCGCACGGUAUCGCAUGAUACAGUGUGAAAAACUCCGGUGGUAUAAGAUGGACCCGCGUCUGAUUAGCUUGUUGGUGAGGUAACCGGCCCACCAAGGCGACGAUCAGUAGCCGGCCUGAGAGGGUGAACGGCCACAUUGGGACUGAGACACGGGCCCAAAACUCCUACGGGAGGCAGCAGUGGGGAAUAUU
rnacentral:rRNA from 1 species